UUCUCUCUUCGCAUAGCUUGUAUAUUCUACGAUAUAUAAUUUUAAGAAAAAGUUUUAAUGUAUGGCUCAUUAGACUUAUUAGCCUAUAUUCUCCGCACUUUUUGCUCCCUGUUUCUUUGAUAAGGUAAUAAAUUCUGAAACUAGCCAAUCUUUUGGGAUAUUGCCUGUGUCAUAGAUAUUAUUGAAGAUUUUACAUAGUAUUCGUAAAGAUUCAUCAUCAAGAAGUUUAAGAAAUUCAGAUUGUACUCCGUCUGAUCCUGGAGCUCUACCUUCUUUUAGUGAUAUUAUGGCUGCUCUCAUUUCUGCUACUAGUAUAGGUGGUCCUGUUUUCGUAUAUAGGUAUUGGGUACUGGUUCUCCCUCUCAUCAAAAAAUAAAUUUCGUAUGUAAUUUUUCCAGGUAUUCAGCCCUAUCCCUUUCGUGACCGGCUGACACGAUCGUGAGAUCAUGUUUAUGUGGGUAUCAAUAUCAAAAUAAACAUAUUUUUACUAGGAAAGAUGACAUCAAUAUGUUGUGUCUAUCGUGUAUUAUCAGAGUAACUGAAAUUAUUUAACUAAUUCGCGCUUAGUUUGCAAUAGAAUACCCUAUAAAGAAGGCUGUGUAUUUUGACGACAAAACCGAUAAAGGUGUGCCUCUCACCCACGAUUUGGCUCUAGAGGUGUUAAAUGAUGGUAACUAGUCCGAAAUAGAAGAUUCAGAUGGCGAAAAUGAUGUUGCUUUUGACGUUUAGAUGUUUAAAAAUAACACCGAUGACAAGGAUAUUAAAGAAACUGUAUGAUAUGAAGGACCUGCAUUGGAUGAAGAACCUGUUCCUUCAACGAGCUCUUCUUCAGCAAAGAGGCAAUGGGAAGACAUGACAUUUCAGCAAAAAAUGUUUGUUCUAUUUUAGUUAGUAUGUAAUAGCAUAUUAAACAAUUAUAAAAAUAAUUUUUA